AUACAGAGGGUGCGAGCGUUAAUCGGAAUUACUGGGCGUAAAGCGCGCGUAGGCGGCUUGGUCAGUCGGAUGGGAAAGCCCUGGGCUCAACCUGGGAAUUGCAUUCGAUACUGCCAAGCUAGAGUAUGGGAGAGGGAAGUGGAAUUUCCGGUGUAGCGGUGAAAUGCGUAGAUAUCGGAAAGAACACCAGUGGCGAAGGCGACUUCCUGGCCCAAUACUGACGCUGAGGUGCGAAAGCGUGGGGAGCGAACAGGAUUAGAUACCCUAGUAGUCC
rnacentral:rRNA from 1 species